AGGAGUCUGUUGAAAGCCCAAAACCACGAGCAAUUCACUUCAGCAUAAUAUAUAAAAUCACUGCGAGACGAGUCACUAAUGGCCUCUGGGAUACAACUAAACUACUGACGAGAAAGCAAGCCAACCGCAUCUGCUGAACAGACCACCUCUAUCCUGCCAUCUGCUCAGUUGCAAAGGAAGUGGGGAGGGAGGUCAUGAUCCCUAGCAAGCAACCAUGGACAAUCUUGAAUGGAAGCAGCUGUGCCAGGGAAAGCAGGUCCCACGCCUCUAGAGCAGUGCCACUACCCAAUGACCAGCACAAGAUUGGAGCCCACAAUAUUAUGUCAGAGUGGGGAAGAAGUUCAUGAUGCCCUGGCCCUCCCUGAGGAUUUGUAGGCAGGCAAUUAAGGAGUUGCUGAGGGAAGGGGAAGAUUUUCUUCAGUAGAAUAGCCAUUGGUCAGCUGUCCAUGCUGCUGUAACAGUUUUAGUGUCUUAUGUUUAUGUGUACCACAAGCUUGCAGGAGCCCAGAGUUCAGGUGAUGGCAUCAGACCCUUACAGACUGAAUUACAAAUGACUAUGUGCUGCCAUGUGGGCAGCAGGGACCAAGCCCCAGUCCUCUGCAAGAGCAGUAAGCUCUCCUAACCUGAGCCCUCCCCGGUCCCUGCUCCAGGACCUUUAAGCCCACUGAUUCAAAGUUCCAUGAACAGCCUUGAAAAGUCAACAUCCAGUCAUGGUGGCAGCCUGGCAAACAUGACAGGGGGAAAAUGGAAACAGAGUGCCUUCAAAACCCAGGCACGGAAAACUCAUUACUUCCUCCUAUUUGAAGACUUUCUUCUCAAAAUUCCUCAAGGCUUACAUUCUUUUCAGGAUUCUUUUUGCAAAACUCCUAGAGCAAAUCUGCACUAGCAGCUAUCACAAUUCUACCUUCAACUCCAUGUUUCCUUUCACUGGAAAUGCAAUUAAGUCCAUUUGAAGCAUUCCACAAACAAUGUAAGUCACCAGAAGCAUGUACCUAGUUUAUUAUGACAAAUAGAGUAAUGCUGUAUUACAGUGGAGCCAUGCUCUUCCUAUUUGGACAACAGUAGCAACAGAAAUUGGAACAGAAACUGUUCCUGCAGUUAUUCAAAGUAGCAGAGAUGAUGAAUCAGGCCAACCAAUGUAGGAACUGAACAGUUUCAAAAUCAACUCAACUCAUGCCAAGUCAAACUAUUCUAUGUCCAUUCAAACACAGCAUGUUAGAGAAAUAAAUUACAUGUGUACUUUGAGGUGCUCUAAAUGAGAUGUU